GCACGCUCGGACCGGGGCGGCUCUGGUCCCGGACUCUGGUACCCGCGUACUCGCGCGGUGAGCUGACAGAGCUCAGCCGGGAGCAGUCCCGGCUAUGCGAUCCUCGACGCACCUCCAGACAAUGGAGUCCAGAGUCUUGACAGCCGAGUGCGUCCGUAGUGCCGCCCUGAGGCCGAGCGCAUGUGAGGCGGAUUCUGUCAGAUUCUUCCCUCGAGAGCAGAGAGAGAAAAGGGAUCUGUUUCCCUUAGUAGGAAAACAUUUGCUUUCAAGACUCCACUUCCAAUGUGUUCACGUGUUGGACUGUUCAGCAAACUGGCCUUACUUUUUCCUUCUUAAUGCAGUAGCAUGUAGCUGAGAACAGAAAAAAGCAGUCCCCGACAUCCAGGAACUGGCCUGACACUUAAACAGGUGCCAGGAGGGAGGAAGAGUUAAUCAACUUCUCUGCUCAACCUGCCAUGCUUAUCUACAGAGGAAUCACCUAUCUCUUCAAGGACCUGAUUCGACUGUUUUUCCUUAUACCUUCUUACCAUCUCACUCCCAGCUCUACGGUGACAUUCACACAUUUGUCCAAGGAACAUGAACUGAAUGUCUGCCAUGUGUGGGUGCUGAGACUUGAAUUGUGAUCAAGCUACAAUCCCUGACUACAAGGGAGUCCAGUCUGGAGGAAGCAAAUGUAAGAAGUCCCAAGCAGAGCACGUGCACGGUGCAAGGGCAGCAUAGGGAAAGGGUUACUUCCCUUUGGGGUAUCGGGGAAGGCUCCCCAGAGGGAGAGGGGUCUAAACAGAGACGUCAAGAUAAAGUGGAAACUGAUCCUACCAAACACAUCUGUGCCCCAGUGAGAUGGUAGGAAGAGCCAGAGACACUGACAGAACUCAGGCAUCCAACUUCCCCCUUGCCCCCUCAUCCCUGCUCCAGGGGACUCCACUGGUUGGUUCCUCUGCCCUUGAUACAUACUCUGAGUGUAAAGAAGGAAGGAAUUGCCCAAAACUUGAAUGGUCUUCUACCUGUAGGAAAUGUGGAUAGGGAGAUUAUAGAGGCUUUAUUUUGUGGUCAUGGGCUGUUCAUUUUCCAUCCUUUUCCCCAAAUUUCUGAAGCCAUUUAGUGUGAAUUCUUUACUUCUCCCUCAAGCUGUAACCCAGGCCAUGUACCUCAAC